GGUUAAACCCGUAUUCUGGACAGACCUCCACUAAAAAGGUAAUUUCUCACUCAUCGUAACUCCUUUUGAAAUUCCGCUUGAUUCUGUGGUAAGAUAACGAAAUUCCGGUCGAUUCGACGCCAGUUUCAUGGAUUUCUAAGCAGUAAUGAAUUCGGGAGAAGCAUUUGAAGUUCGAGGUCUGAUGCAGAACUUUGGGCUACGGGUUUAGAGUGUUGUGGCUGCAAAUUCUGUUUUUCAACUAGCUCCGAAUAUGUUGUUAGCACGAUUCAAACGUCAUGUUCAGGUGGGUUCCUUUAGGUAAACUCUCACUUAAUAGAGUAGCCUUAUUAGUUUUCCCCAAAAUCCAACUAUGCAUGUUAACUUAAGUUUUAGGGAUUAAUUAGGGAGAACUCAUGAAAUGACUUAAUUAAUGGAUUGAAUAUGCCCUACAUGUUUGGAAUGUUGUUAAUUCGUGGAAUUUAGCAUAAAAUGAUUGAUAUGUAUACUGUUUUGGAAUGGUAAGUGCUGCUGGAUGUUGCAGGUUGCGUGUUUGAGCCGGUUCAUACAGCUAUGAAUCGAUGCAUAUGUUUUCCAGAGCUUAGAAAAUGUGUGUUCUGAGUCUAUGAAUUGGUGCAUGCUAUGCUUGAACCGGUGCAUAGGCUUCAGGAUGUGUUUUAUAAAAACAUGGAAAACGUGUGAAUCGGUGCAUACCCGGUAUGAGUGACUCAAACAUGGCCUGGACAGAGUUUGAAUCGGUGCAUAGACAGUAUGCACGGGAGCAUGGAACCCAGAAUAACUAUUUUUGUAACAAUAACUAUUUUUGUAACAAACUGAGAACAUGAACCGGUGCACAACUCUUAUGAACCGAUGCAACCUGAGACCAUUAUGCUUUUGAGUUAAGGAUGGAGGAUAUGUCAACUAAUUUAAUUUAACUAAAAACCCUCCAUCACGAAUAGUAUUUUAUAAAAACAACAAGUGUCUAAAUUCCACGAUUACAGACUUUCUACAUGUUUAAAAUCAGUACACUUAGGAAUUUAAUCAGGAUGAUCAUAAUAGUUAGAAAUAUCCCCGGGAAGGGUUGAUGGGCAGGUUAAUGCAAUUUAGAUUCUUAAGACAGUUGAUCAUAUUAUGGUGGUUGAUCCCGAACCACAGUUUAUCUAGCCUUUGGCUAUGAGUCUAGCUUUUGCUACGAGGGAUUCUUCACUUUUAGUGGGAAUCAAGUUAUUUAAGUUGUGAGCUGAGGUGGUUCUCUGAUCUACAUUUAAUAUNNNNNNNNNNNNNNNNNNNNNNNNNNNNNNAUAAAGAUAAUAAAUUAUGUGAUACACCUUUAUUUAUGUUUAAGCUAUUCAAUUAUGAAUAUGAGUUAUUUUAGUGAUCAACUGAUUUAUGUACGAGCCCCCGGUGUAGUCACCACCGUAGUUGGGGUAGCAGGAGCUCACUGAGGCUUAGUAGUCUCAAUCCACGAUUUAUUGAUUAUAGGUAACAGGUUGAGCAUGAUAAAUGGAUUUUCAAGAGGAUUGAAGUAAAGACGUUGUUUAUGGAAACUUCGUAGCAUUCACCUGUUAAAUUAUUAUAGAAGAUGACUCAAGGUUUGAUCCUGAUUGUUAUGCAUUCUAUUUCGCUCUGAUGUAUAAUAUAUUAUAGGUUGUACAUUAUGACAGUUUAUUCAGGAUUUUGUCAAGAUUGUGUAUUGUUUGGCAAAUUAUCUUGUAAUUGUACUAUGUCGGACAAAAGUUAUUUUGUAAUUUUAACGUUUCCCGAUUCAGUUAUGUAUGCUCCUAUUGAUAUUCUAGAUAAAUCAAUAUGGGGUGUUAUAACUGAUUUGUACAUUUUCAGAUUAAUACAUUGCAAAUCAAAGAAACGGUUACGGAUGGAAGAAAAAGCAAAAUACAAAAUCGAUUCAAGAAAUUAAACGAUUGAUAUUGAUUACAAUAACACAUGCAUAAUGAAAUUAUUCAAAGAGUAGAGAAAUUCACAGAUGAAAACCUCGAUAGUAAC
rnacentral:lncRNA from 1 species